rnacentral:rRNA from 1 species
UACGUAGGGUGCGAGCGUUGUCCGGAAUUAUUGGGCGUAAAGCGCUUGUAGGCGGUUUGUCGCGUCUGCCGUGAAAAUCCGGGGCUCAACCCCGGACUUGCGGUGGGUACGGGCAGACUAGAGUGUGGUAGGGGAGACUGGAAUUCCUGGUGUAGCGGUGAAAUGCGCAGAUAUCAGGAGGAACACCGAUGGCGAAGGCAGGUCUCUGGGCCACUACUGACGCUGAGAAGCGAAAGCCAGGGGAGCAAACGGG